rfam:Cajanus cajan Scaffold126074_2, whole genome shotgun sequence.
AAACCAUGGUUAGGACAUUUCCUUAGAAGAGAUUUGAAACGCUCCCAAGCUUCACAGAAAGGUUCAUCCAACCUUUGGCGAAAGGUAGCAAUUUCUGAUUUAGCACU